CCAGACUCCUACGGGAGGCAGCAGUGGGGAAUAUUGCACAAUGGGGGGAACCCUGAUGCAGCGACGCCGCGUGGGUGAAGGAGUAUUUCGGUAUGUAAAGCCCUAUCAGCAGGGAAGAACAAUGACGGUACCUGACUAAGAAGCACCGGCUAAAUACGUGCCAGCAGCCGCGGUAAUACGUAUGGUGCAAGCGUUAUCCGGAUUUACUGGGUGUAAAGGGAGCGUAGACGGCAGUGCAAGUCUGAAGUGAAAGGCGGGGGCCCAACCCCCGGACUGCUUUGGAAACUGUGCUGCUGGAGUGCAGGAGAGGCAAGUGGAAUUCCUAGUGUAGCGGUGAAAUGCGUAGAUAUUAGGAGGAACACCAGUGGCGAAGGCGGCUUGCUGGACUGUAACUGACGUUGAGGCUCGAAAGCGUGGGGAGCAAACAGGAUUAGAUACCCCGGUACU
rnacentral:rRNA from 1 species